GAGAGUGACCUUUCAAAACAAAUCUGAAGCAAUGUUAAAUUAUUUCUUUAUUUUCAAUAAGUAGGUUAUUUGUGAUUAUUACAAGAAUCAGUGAACAGUUAUAAGGUUAUAUCGAGUUUAAUUAGUAAAAAAUGGAUUGUAAAUUACUUAUAUUGUUUUUUUGUGUGCUCAUAUUAAAAAUGUUGUUUAAUGGCGUUGAUUCACGAAGUUUACCUCAAAAUCGUGAUAGGAAUAUACCAUGUGGAGACGAUUUCAUACAGAUAAACGAUGAUUGUUACAAAUUGUGAUAAAUAAAAAUAAAAAUAAUGGACUUUCUUCACCUACUUCAUGAUAACUACAGCAGUUACUACUUAGUAUUUACUUGCUUGAAUAUAAUAUAAUAUAAGUUAAAUGCUAAUCCAUGUUUAUCAAAUAAAGAUUAACAAAAAAUAA